AACUUUGCAGAGGUUCUGUCGCCCAGUGAGCCGACCGGAACCGACCCGGAACACUCGUCUCAGAAACGGAUAAAAAGUCUACUCGACCGUACAGAAGCGGAUCAGGUCCUGGUACCGGUCGUGCUGGCUCCGGUCCCGGUGCUUCAGCUGGCCCACGAUGUGUCUCUUCCAGGCCUCCGUCGACCGGGCCCGGGGCAGCGCGGGCGCCGCGUCCCGGCCGCCGUGCCGCGGGACUCGGGGUGAAUCCGCCAUGACUGCGCGCGGCCCGGGCAGCCUCCUGCGGUCUCCCCGCUGACAGACGCCCCUACACCGGCACGGAGCUACAGGCGGCCGCGUGGUGAGCGUCGGGUUCUCCGCCCCGCCGCCAUGUUGCUCGCUCUUCUUCCUCCUCCUCCUCUCUGGUGUUUGUUGUUGUUGUUGUUCUCACUAUCUUUCCUAGAGAUGUGUCACUGACAGGAGGCGGGGCUGCAAACUGCCGGGUCUUUCAGCCAAUCAACGCCCGCCGUUCGUUUCCGGGUUACAUUUGAGACGGCAGACAGGACACGCCCCCCUAAAGGAGACGCCGGGGUUUUAACGUCAUUGAUCAUUUCAUUUUCAUAAAUAAAUAUUUGUUGUUUAGUAAAGACAAAUUUAAACAGCCGUUUGUCAAUCAAAUAACACAAAAUAGCCUUUUGGCUGUAUUUAUUUAAAUAAAUAAUCAUAGUGAGGUAUAAGGAAUAGGCGGGUUAUAGAAGCAAAAGAAAGAAAUAUUGAACUUUGACACAUUUAUUAAGGAACAUAUAAAACAAGGAUUUAUGUACAAUGAUUGCGAUUCAAAACACUUAAAAACAGAUGAAAUGUCACAAAAACUAACUAAAAGGUGCUUUAAAUGUAAUACUGAUAAAGUGAGGGUUGUCCUCUCUCUUAGCGUUGGUCCCGGAUCAGAGCCGGUUCAGCUUGUUCUGGGUCAUCUGAACCAGCAGCUCAGCGGACGGGACUCUACUCCCCCGCAACACCGCCUGGAGCUCGGCGUGAACGACAUCAAACGCACCCUCCAGUACGGAAGACAUCUGAAGACACCGAUCGCCAACCGACGGGCCGAGCUGGGGAGGAUUUGUAUUUACUUAUAUAAACUUAUUAUUUGUGUUCAGCACAAAUGGGGUUUAUACAUUUGUUGUAAUUAUACUGUGCAAAAUAAAGACUUUUUAUCACAGCUUCUAAAAAAGGAGUCAAACCUUUUAUUCCUCAUAUGAAUCAACUUCUCUAAAUACGUACAAUUUCCCUCUGAUAUUUAGACUUUUUCUUAAUCACAUUGUGUACUUAUUAAAAUAUGACUCGUGACUGACU
ensembl:lncRNA